GACGAACGCUGGCGGCGUGCUUAACACAUGCCAGUCGAACGAUGAAGCAAAGAAUCGAAGCUUCUGCAGAAAUUCAUUUCGGAUUAGUGGCAGACGGGUGCGUAACGCGUGAUCAACCUACCUCUUACAAAGGGAUAGCCUCGUUAAACCGGGAUUAAUACCAUAUAACAUUGUGACGAAUCAUUUCGCUUCAAUCAAAUCUACGGCGGUAAGUGAUGUGCUCGCGUCCCAUUAACCGGAUGGUGAGGUAACGGCUCACCAUAGUGAGGAUGGGUAACCGGGAAGAGAGGGUGAACGGUGACACCGGAGGUGAGAAACAGUCCAGAAUCCUACGGGAGGCAGGAGUGGGGAAUAUUGCAAAACGGAGGGAACGCUGAUGGAGCGACGCUGGGUGAGUGAUGAAGGAAGGCGUUAAGUAAAACUGUGUUCUAUGGGAAGAAAAGGACGGUACCAUAGGAGAAAGCACCGGCUAAAUACGUG
rnacentral:rRNA from 1 species